GAUGAACGCUGGCGGCGUGCCUAAUACAUGCAAGUCGAGCGAACAGAUGAUGAGCUUGCUCCUCUGACGUUAGCGGCGGACGGGUGAGUAACACGUGGAUAACCUACCUAUAAGACUGGGAUAACUUCGGGAAACCGGAGCUAAUACCGGAUAAUAUAUUGAACCGCAUGGUUCAAUAGUGAAAUACGGUUUUGCUGUCACUUAUAGAUGGAUCCGCGCCGCAUUAGCUAGUUGGUAAGGUAACGGCUUACCAAGGCAACGAUGCGUAGCCGACCUGAGAGGGUGAUAGGCCACACUGGAACUGAGCCACGGUCCAGACUCCUAAGGGAGGCAGCAGUAGGGAAUGUUCCGCAAUGGGCGAAAGCCUGACGGAGCAACGCCGCGUGAGUGAUGAAGGUCUUCGGAUCGUAAAACUCUGUUAUUAGGGAAGAACAAAUGUGUAAGUAACUAUGCACGUCUUGACGGUACCUAAUCAGAAAGCCACGGCUAACUACGUG
rnacentral:rRNA from 1 species